GAGAAAUGCAUAACUAGGGUUUCUCUGCUGGUCCACGUCGGAUACAGCUCAGCAUGUGCUGGAAAACAACCUCUGGAAGGAAGUUGUGGAAGUUUUAUGCAUAAAGGUUAUACUCGGGAUUAAGAGAAUAUUGUGUCGAAAAGAUGGGUGUCGAGAUGAAAAGACGCUUAAGGCACAAGUUUCAGAUUCUGUAUAUAUCGGAAUAACAUUUUGCAUUUUGCAGUUUGCAGUAGGCUUUAAUCUAAAACUAAUCAAGACCGAUCACAACCAUCGAUUUACUUUACGGAAUGAUAUUCUUUAUUUCUAAUUGUGUGUAUAGCAAAUGCCAUUCUUUUCCCCUCUCCUUUAUUUUACACCCCUCAAAGCAACAUUCACUUUUUACUCUUCGAGAAAUCGAGCUGUUGCCCAAUUGUAAUUCCGGGUCUAUACUUUUUAUUGCCACCCUUUCUUGCACCUCCACUCUUCCACUUGAAUGUUUUGCUAUUUAACGACGAGCAAUAAUUACGAUAGUAUUUUGGCUUUGCUAGUGAAAAUCACAAUAAUAGAAAUAUAUACCCCAGCACCAUUGUUCGUGCAAUACACUUUAUUUUAUUUUUUCUUCGUUACCCUUUUUUUUUAAUUUGCUUCCUCCCCAACCCUCAUGCGUACACGGAAGUCUCUACUUCAUGAAUAUAGAUAACGGUGCCUCUCUCGAUAGUUAAUUUAUUUAUUUUUAUUAUUUUUUCUUAUCUAAUGUUCGAAAUGUGCUAGAUAGAACCAGGCUCUAUAUUCGUUGCAUUUUCAUCAGGUCUCUUGUAACCAAUUAACCAUGCAUAUCGAAAACAUAUCUGCUUAUUUCACGCAGGGACAUUCCGGUAAUUUCCAAUUUAUGUGGCUGAUUUGCUUUGGACA